rnacentral:rRNA from 1 species
GAAUUCGCGAUGGGCGUCGGUUGUGAGUUGUGGUUGCGGAUGGCACAUGUGUCUUCCGUUUCCGCGGCCUACGAUCGGCGUUCGUUGCCCCGGCACUCGACUCGGUGUAUAGUCGGUCACCCAUUCGACCCGUCUUGAAACACGGACCAAGGAGUUUAAGGUGUACGCGAGUCAUUGAGCUGCGAAACUCAAAGGCGUAAUGAAAGUGAGACAUUGGAUGUCGACGAUGUGAGCGUUGGGCGUUUCGACGUCCGGCGCGCAACAUCGCCCCGUGACUAGGACUUGUUCUGUUGCGGAGGUUGAGCGUACGCUUUGAGACCCGAAAGAUGGUGAACUAUGCCCGAACAGGAUGAAGCCAGAGGAAACUCUGGUGGAAGUCCGAAGCGGUUCUGACGUGCAAAUCGAUCGUCUGAUUUGGGUAUAGGGGCGCCAGACUAUUCGACCCAUC